AGCAGCAAAGCUCUCGGGUGCGGCGGCUCCUCCGGCGCGAGUUGCGAUUUGGUGUUUUGCUCUGGUCAACUUGUAAAGAAAAGGACGAUGGUCACAGUGGUAUAAAAAUUACAUCCAACGGGAAUCGGGAAGGGCCUCAUCGGAGGAAAAAAUUGAGGAAACCCGCGGCGCCGCUGCUAGACUUUGACUGUGUUUUUCGGCCAAUUGGCCGGUGGUUUGGGUUCAAUUUG
rnacentral:lncRNA from 1 species